UACGAAGGGGGCUAGCGUUGCUCGGAAUCACUGGGCGUAAAGGGUGCGUAGGCGGGUUCUUAAGUCAGAGGUGAAAUCCUGGAGCUCAACUCCAGAACUGCCUUUGAUACUGAGAGUCUUGAGUUCGGGAGAGGUGAGUGGAACUGCGAGUGUAGAGGUGAAAUUCGUAGAUAUUCGCAAGAACACCAGUGGCGAAGGCGACUUACUGGACACAUAUUGACGCUGAGGUGCGAAAAGCGUGGGGAGCAAACAGG
rnacentral:rRNA from 1 species